rnacentral:rRNA from 1 species
CAACGGAUAAAAGGUACGCUAGGAUAACAGCUCUUCCCUCCAAGAGAGUACAUAUCGACUGGGGGAUGGGAGAUCUCGAUGUCGUCUUAUUGCGUCCUUAUGCUGAAGAAGGUAUAAAGGGUUAGACUGUUCGUCUAUUAAAGCAGUACAUGAGAUGGGUUUAAAACGCCGUGAGGCAGUUUUGUUUCUAUAUACAGUUAUAAUAAUACAAACACACAAGCUUGGUUAGUACGAAAGGACCAAUCUAGGCGUAAUCCCUGGUUUAAUUGUUAUGU